rnacentral:rRNA from 1 species
UUGGAGGGCAAGUCUGGUGCCAGCAGCCGCGGUAAUUCCAGCUCCAAUAGCGUAUAUUAAAGUUGUUGCAGUUAAAAAGCUCGUAGUUGAAUUUCGGGAUCAGCAGGUUGGUCGUGCCUCUGGUAUGCACUGGUUUCGCUGAUUCCUCCUUUCUGAAGAACUGUAAUGUCAUUAAUUUGGUGUUGCAGGGAAACAGGACUGUUACUUUGAAAAAAUUAGAGUGUUUGAAGCAGGCUAACGCUUGAAUACAUUAGCAUGGAAUAAUGAAAUAGGACGUUUGAUCCUAUUUUGUUGGUUUCUAGGAUUGACGUAAUGAUUAAUAGGGAUAGUUGGGGGCAUUAGUAUUCAAUUGUCAGGGGUGAAAUUCUUGGAUUUAUUGAAGACUAACUACUGCGAAAGCAUUUGCCAAGGAUGUUUUCAUUAAUCAAGAACGAAAGUUAGGGGAUCGAAGACGAUCAGAUACCGUCGUAGUCUUAACCAUAAACUAUGCCGACUAGGGAUCGGAUGAUGUUAAUUUUUUAAUGACUCAUUCGGCGCCUUACGGGAAAC